ACCCAAGUAGCACGGGGCCCGAGAAAUCCCGUGUGAACUCUGGCGGGACCACCCGCUAAGCCUAAAUAUUCCCUGGUGACCGAUAGCGGAUAGUACCGUGAGGGAAUGGUGAAAAGUACCGCGGGAGCGGAGUGAAAUAGUACCUGAAACCGUGUGCCUACAAGCCGUGGGAGCGUCGGAUGGAAGCUUGCUUCCAUCUCGUGACUGCGUGCCUUUUGAAGAAUGAGCCUGCGAGUUUGCGGUGUGUUGCGAGGUUAACCCGGGUGGGAAGCCGUAGCGAAAGCGAGUCCGAAUAGGGCGUUUCGAGUAGCACGCUCAAGACCCGAAGCGGAGUGAUCUAGCCAUGGGCAGGUUGAAGCGG
rnacentral:ncRNA from 1 species